ACAGCAUUAUUACUGUAAAAUGAGCAAAUGCUUACUGUAGAACUUGUUUACAGCAUGUUGCUGUAGAUCUGCAAAGCAUCAUGGUCUUUUUUCAACGGCGGGUAAAUUCUACAGUAAAAAUAUUUUUCCUGUGAAUCACAAUACAGCAAUUUCUAAAGGAUUUUUUUCUUCAGCCAAGGAAAGCUACGAGAUUCCACACUUUCAUCUGACUUUUUACUUCAGAAAGGUAAAUUUGCUAAUUUAAUUCCAAAGUUUACUCUUGUAAAGUCUGUUUGUUCAACUUUAAGAGUGCACUGAGAGAGAAUGAGCAGCACACUUCACCGUCUUGUGUGUGCAUUUUGUAAUUUUAUUACCACAAAUAUAUAUUUCUGCAUGAUUUCGAUAUAUUUUCUAGUUUGGCAACAUUUUAUAACGUCAUUAGUUUAGAGAAGGAUAAUAAUUUAAUAAUAAUAGUAAUUGGCCGUGUCUCAAUGCUUGUUUCAGAAUAUUAACAAUUAUAAAGUUGACUGUUAUUCUUAGUUAAUAGUAAAUUGUUUAAUAUGCUUAUGACUUGCGAAUCUAAUGGUCAGUUAACUUAAAUAAACCAGGGCUGAUGACGUAUGCGAGUGCGACCUCCGCAGGCUGAAACCAGUCUCUCGAGCUGAAAGAAAACGGAGCUGAGCAGAUAUGAGGAAACUUCCACCUACAGUAAGCAGAUGCUGAGGCCCAGAUUUCCAUGCUAAGCACUCCAAGGCUCAUCAUGCUCGGAGAGUCCAAUCUGAGGGCAAAAAAUGGAUGCUUUCCAUCGAGUGCAGAGUUCUCCUCCAAUUGAGUGACCGUUGUGAUUUCACUUCUGCUCGAUCCUUUUUGUGUCAUACUAUGUAUGAGGCAGCCACUACAUUGGGAUUUAUCCAGAGGUAAGCACUUUUUUGUUUUUUUAUAUACACUGUAAAAAAUUUAUAUUUUAAAAAAUUGUGGAAACUGAAAGUUAAGUAUUGACUCAACAUAUUGCUUUCAAAAAAUUCUCCCCAAACAAAAAUAUGCAUUGUGGUAAUUAAAACAUAAAGAAUUGGCUUAAAACAAAAAUGUAUAUUCACCGAACAUAUUAAACUCUGCUCAGCCAAUUUAUCGUGUCAAAUGAAAAAUCUGAGUUGACUGAACAUAGUUCAGCCAGAAAAGCGUAUGGGAAUGCACCUGACAUUAAUUGGCUUCAGUGUGGAUGCGUGGGAGUUGAUGAUCGACAUUUUCUACAAUAAAGUUAUGGUAAGUACUUAAAUAUUUACAUUUAAGUCAUUUUUAAGUAUUUUUAAAGUCAUUUUCUAGUUAAACUGAGUGAAAAUCUGAAUAAUUACAGCAUACAAACAAAAGCAUAUGAUGUUUUCUCCUCAGUGUAACGCACCGAGCAACGCUUCAUUUAGUGAGGAAAUGGCAAGGUCACUACAACUUUCACAGUGAGUAUAUUAUAUUUGUAUUUCUUAUAUAACAUAUUUGUAUGAAAACUGUUAGCUUUUUCGAGAUUUAUGUGCGUUUUUUUAUUAAGAGCCGCUGCGCCGCGCCCACACGUGCACACAUAGACAUAAAAUGCUGCUUGCAACCUCCGCCUUUCUAGAGAGAAAUUGUCGUGUUUUUUAAAUAAAUGAAUAUAUAACGAGUGUGGGGGCUUCUGUAUUUGGCCUGGACUUCACGAAACGGGCGCAUUCUUUACUUGUAUUUGAAUGUAUGCAGCACUGCGCAGACAAAUCAACCUAUGACAUCAAAGUUCCGCGAGAGCCAUUCACAAGCUUAUAUCUCGCGUUACAUUGAUCUCAUGUGCCAAUCGAUCUGCGCCGCGCUUGCUGCCGUCGUCAUCUUGCGUCUUGCUAUCCACGAGGGGUAGAUAGAUAUGAAUAGGACGCUCUCUAUCAGCUGGUGUUGUAAAGCUGCUGUUUAUAUUAAACGGCGCAAGUCUCAAAUAAGUGCAAGGACACCGCCCAAAACGGACGAGAUGUUUAAAUAAU